GUACCACCUUACUUCACUAGUCUACGACAAGAUUGGAUCAGAUUGGAUAAAGAUAAAAAACAAAAGCACACACAAAAAAAACAAAAACCAGAUCUGUGGAUACUUUAGUGAGACACAUUCCAGAGGGUGGGAGAUAAACCCUACAAAGAACCUACCACACCAGUAACAUAUUUUGGGGGUCCUGUUCUGAGGCCUGCCAGGAUAUUCCCUUAAAAGUAAAGGACAAAUUAUUGCAUCACAUAUCUCCUCCUUCCCUCCCUCCUUUCCUUCCUUCCUUCCUUCCUUCCUUCCUUCCUUCCUUCCUUCCUUCCUUCCUUUCAUCAUGUAUCUUGACCACAAAGUAGGAAGCACAAUCUACAACUCUUGGUAAGGUACCCUGGUUCUUCUAUGCUCUGUACUUGGGAAUAUUGCUCUAGAUCAUGUAGUGGGUAAUGUGGAAGGAUGUCAAUUUUCACUGAUAUUCAGAGCAGGAAAGAGCCCUGGAGCAGAUAUAGGUUUGAGUUACAUGACCAGAUAGAUACCAUUUUAUUGGAAGUAUCAAUGGUAGAAAAAGAUGCUUUGUGAGCUUAUGAUAAACCCAAUAGAAGAAUUACAGUAUAGACUCUUAGAUUUCUGGAGCAUGAUAAUACCAUCUACAGUUAGAAUUAUAUAAGUUUCAAAAUUAUCUUGUGGGCUGUAGUGGAGGCUUCGUGCUUAAUCACGGCACACUAAAUGACCAUGGAAGCAGAACUGCCAACAAUGGGCUAAAUUCUGCCAGAAUCUUAGGGUUGGGAAGGCU
rnacentral:lncRNA from 1 species